AUCCGCACAAGCGGUGGAUGAUGUGGAUUAAUUCGAUGCAACGCGAAAAACCUUACCUACCCUUGACAUGUCCGGAAUCCUGCAGAGAUGCGGGAGUGCCGAAAGGGAAUCGGAACACAGGUGCUGCAUGGCUGUCGUCAGCUCGUGUCGUGAGAUGUUGGGUUAAGUCCCGCAACGAGCGCAACCCUUAUCAUUAGUUGCUACGCAAGGGCACUCUAAUGAGACUGCCGGUGACAAACCGGAGGAAGUGGGGAUGACGUCAAGUCCUCAUGGCCCUUAUGGGUAGGGCUUCACACGUCAUACAAUGGUCGGUACAGAGGGUUGCCAAGCCGCGAGGUGGAGCCAAUCCCAGAAAGCCGAUCGUAGUCCGGAUUGUUCUCUGCAACUCGAGAGCAUGAAGUCGGAAUCGCUAGUAAUCGCGGAUCAGCAUGUCGCGGUGAAUACGUUCCCGGGUCUU
rnacentral:rRNA from 1 species